UACGUAGGGGGCUAGCGUUGUCCGGAAUCAUUGGGCGUAAAGCGCGCGUAGGCGGCCAGAUAAGUCCGGUGUGAAAGUCAAAGGCUCAACCUUUGAAUGCCGCUGGAAACUGUCUGGCUAGAGUCCGGAAGGGGCGAGUGGAACUCCUGGUGUAGCGGUGAAAUGCGCAGAUAUCAGGAAGAACACCAAUGGCGAAAGCAGCUCUCUGGGACGGUACUGACGCUGAGACGCGAAAGCGUGGGGAGCGAACAGG
rnacentral:rRNA from 1 species